rnacentral:lncRNA from 1 species
AAAGCGGGUGAACCUGGCCCAGGUGGACCGGCCACGGGUGGACAUCGAGUGUGCAGGGAAGGGGGUGCAGUCGUCCCUGAUCCACAAUUAUAAGAAGAACCCCAACUUCAACACCCUCGUCAAGUGGUUUGAAGUGGACCUCCCAGAGAACGAGCUGCUGCACCCGCCCUUGAACAUCCGUGUGGUGGACUGCCGGGCCUUCGGUCGCUACACACUGGUGGGCUCCCAUGCCGUCAGCUCCCUGCGACGCUUCAUCUACCGGCCCCCAGACCGCUCGGCCCCCAGCUGGAACACCACGGGGGAGGUUGUGGUGACUAUGGAGCCAGAGGUACCCAUCAAGAAACUGGAGACCAUGGUGAAGCUGGACGCGGUAAGGCGGGUGGGGUCAGCCCCCUGCUGGCUGGGAACAUGCAACUUCGUGUGACACAUCCUGUGAACCAGACUAUCUGCCCCGAGAGAAAAGGACACUAAGAGCCUCCUUUGGCAUGUGACUGUCGGGGGCUGAGCUUGAUUGUGUGUCCAAACAGCUCCCUCCUAAUACUAUCCUGGAAUGCACA